UACGUAGGGGCUAGCGUUGUCCGGAAUCAUUGGGCGUAAAGAGCGUGUAGGCGGUCCGGUAAGUCCGCUGUGAAAGUCGGGGCUCAACCCUCGAAUGCCGGUGGAUACUGUCGGGCUAGAGUGCGGAAGAGGCCGAGUGGAAUUCCUGGUGUAGCGGUGAAAUGACGCAGAUAUCAGGAGGAACACCUAUUGCGAAGGCAGCUCGCUGGACGUUACUGACGCUGAGACGCGAAAGCGUGGGGAGCAAACAGG
rnacentral:rRNA from 1 species